rnacentral:rRNA from 1 species
UACAGAAAGUUGACCUCAAAUCAGGUAGGACUACCCGCUGAACUUAAGCAUAUCAAUAAGCGGAGGAAAAGAACUAACAAGGAUUCCCCUAGUAACUGCGAGUGAAGCGGGAAGAGCUCAAAUUUUGAAUCUGGCGGCGUUUCGGCCCGUCCGAGUUGUAAUCUAGAGAAGCGUCUUCCGCGCUGGACCGUGUACAAGUCUCCUGGAAGGGAGCAUCAUAGAGGGUGAGAAUCCCGUCUUUGACACGGACUACCAGUGCUAUGUGAUGCGCUCUCGACGAGUCGAGUUGUUUGGGAAUGCAGCUCAAAACGGGUGGUAAAUUCCAUCUAAAGCUAAAUACGGGCGAGAGACCGAUAGCGAACAAGUACCGUGAGGGAAAGAUGAAAAGAACUUUGGAAAGAGAGUUAAACAGUACGUGAAAUUGCUGAAAGGGAAACGCUUGACGUCAGUCGCGUCGGCCAGGGAUCAACCUUGCUUGAUUGCUGGGUGUACUUCCUGGUGGACGGGUCAGCAUCAGUUUCGGUCAGCGUAGAAAGGCUAGGGGAACGUGGCACUCUUCGGAGUGUGUUAUAGCCCUCGGUCAUAUGCGGUGGUCGGGACUGAGGAACUCGGGCACGACCUUCGGGCUUGUGACUUAGGAUGCUGGCAUAAUGGCCUUAAGCGACCCGUCUGGAAACACGGGACCA